rnacentral:misc_RNA from 1 species
AAGUCGUAACAAGGUUUCCGUAGGUGAACCUGCGGAAGGAUCAUUAACGAGUUCUGAAAUGGGUUGCAGCUGGCUUUUCGCACAUCGCGGGAAGCAUGUGCUCGCCUUGCUCAAUCCACUCUACACCUGUGAACUAACUGUGGGUCUUUGGUGCGAGCCGGCGUGUAACUCCCCUUCACUGGGGCGGUUGUCGGCUUUUAACCAUGGCCUACGUUUUCUUACAAACUCUUUAAAAGUAUCGAGAAUGUGUAUCGCGAUAUAACGCAUUUAUAUACAACUUUCAGCAACGGAUCUCUUGGCUCUC